rnacentral:misc_RNA from 1 species
GAUGAAGAACGUAGCGAAAUGCGAUAAGUAAUGUGAAUUGCAGAAUUCAGUGAAUCAUCGAAUCUUUGAACGCAUCUUGCGCUCCUUGGUAUUCCUUGGAGCAUGCCUGUUUGAGUAUCAUGAGCAAACCUCAAAGUCAAUUCCUUUUGUUAAUUCAAUUGGUUUUGCUUUGGACUUGGAGGUCUUGCAGAUUUCACAGUCUGCUCCUCUUAAAUGCAUUAGCUGGAUCUCAGUAAUUAUGCUUGGUUCCACUCGGCGUGAUAAGUAUCACUCGCUGAGGACACUGUUAAAAAGGUGGCCAGGAAAAUACUGAUUGACCCGCUUCUAACGGUCUAUUAAGUUAGACAAUUACCCUUAAGUUUAAUCUCAAAUCAGGUAGGACUCCCCGCUGAACUUAAGCAUAUCAAUAAGCGGAGUA